rnacentral:rRNA from 1 species
GCUGAAUGUGGGGAUAAUUUAUCUCCGUGUUGUAGCUAACGCGUUAAGCACUCCGCCUGGGGACUACGGUCGCAAGACUAAAACUCAAAGGAAUUGACGGGGACCCGCACAAGCGGUGGAGCAUGUGGUUUAAUUCGAUGCAACGCGAAAAACCUUACCACUCCUUGACAUGGAGAUUAGAUCCUUCUUAACAGAAGGGCGCAGUUCGGCUGGAUCUCGCACAGGUGCUGCAUGGCUGUCGUCAGCUCGUGUCGUGAGAUGUUGGGUUAAGUCCCGCAACGAGCGUAACCCUCAUCCUUAGUUGCCAGCGGGUAAGCCGGGCACUUUAAGGAAACUGCCGGUGGUAAACCGGAGGAAGGUGGGGAUGAUGUCAAGUCAGCACGGCCCUUAUGGGGUGGGCUACACACGUGCUACAAUGGUGACUACAAUAGGUUGCAAUGUCGCAAGGCUGAGCUAAUCCGUAAAAGUCAUCUCAGUUCGGAUUGUCCUCUGCAACUCGAGGGCAUGAAGUCGGAAUCGCUAGUAAUCGUGGAUCAGCAUGCCACGGUGAAUACGUUCUCGGGUCUUGUACACACUGCCCCGUCACGCCAUGGGAAUUGGCGUAACUCGAAGCUGGUGCGCUAACCGAAAGGAAGCAGCCAU